UACAGAGGGUGCGAGCGUUGUCCGGAAUCACUGGGCGUAAAGGGCGCGUAGGCGGCCUGAUAAGUAGGGGGUGAAAUCCUGUGGCUUAACUGCAGGUCUGCCUCCUAGACUGUUAGGCUCGAGCACGGUAGAGGCAGAUGGAAUUCCCGGUGUAGCGGUGGAAUGCGUAGAGAUCGGGAAGAACAUCGGUGGCGAAGGCGGUCUGCUGGGCCGUUGCUGACGCUGAGGCGCGACAGCGUGGGGAGCAAACAGG
rnacentral:rRNA from 1 species